GGUGGAAUACGGGAUUUUGCAACCACAAUUGGAACUACAGAGAGCAAUCCGAUCAGCAAAGCCCACAGAGGACGGUAGAAGAACCAGCCAAUGGAGAUAGUCAGAAGUGACAGUGAGCUGGCCACACAGAAGGCAAAAGCUUUCAAUCCGAUGUUAACCAGAUCUCGAACAACAGGAAACCAGUCCACCAAAGUGUAAACAAUCCGGGUCAUUAGGCUGAUGCCUACAAACAUUGCCAGCCAGCCUGCUGCACGGAGGGCCCAGGUCUUCAUGGUGUUACUCUCAUGCUCCUUCUGAAACACCUCCUCUACAGAGAGAUCCCCAAAAUAGAGAAUCUGGAGAACAUCUCCAGACUUGGUGUGAUAUGGGACAAGUUGAUCACCUUUCUGCCGAGCAAUCACAGUCACCUUAUCGGCUGAGCCCAAGUGGGGGUCAUGUCCACUCAGACCGGCAUAGAAGAAUGAGACACGAAGGUCUCCCACUUCUGGACGCCUGGGGUUCUCGCUGUGGUAAAAAUAAUCUCCUCCCCGGGUAACAUCAGCAUGUGGAUCCUCAAGGUGUGCCAAGCUCAGCUGUUUGAAGUCAUCAAUCUUAUCCACAAGGCCUUUGGAAAGGACAAAGCUGCCAACCUGAACAUUAGGAGAAACAGCAGUAAAGGACUCCACAGCCAUGGCACUAGGAUUUUUGUGUCCUAUUUCUCGAUCAAAAUUCCUGCUGUUCACAACUUCGGGUUUCCAUUCAGUAUUGUAUGAGUACUUUGUCUCUUUCUUGAUCUCACCAUUUUCUUCAUACUCCCUGGAAUCUUCAUAUUCUACCCACUGGUACAUUUCCACUUUGCGCUUAAGCUUAACAGCCUGGAUGGACAGCCCAUAGCUGGGAUCAAACAAAGGCUUUGCUGUGCUCAGAGCGCCAGCUAAGUGCACCAGUCUCCCCUCAUUCUGUUGAGAAACGCUGUGAAUGUUGUCAAGAGGGAUCACAAGAGAAAGUCCCUCAUCAAGAGAUUUAGCUGUCCUCAAAGCUCGUCCUUCAUUGGUAAAAAGAAGGUAGAAGGACAGAAGAAAUGUCCCAAGUCCUAUGAGCAUGCCUCCAGAAGUCUCGCUGAGCCUCUCCAGGAACCCUGGCUUGGCCUCACUUGUGAUUUUGACAUGUUCUUUUUUGCUUCCUGUGUCAGAGAAAUUCCUCGACAUCUUCAGCCUCUUUCCCUCGCAGCCCAGAGAGCCCGCCGGCGACAACCGCUCGCCAGCAGCCACACCCACAGCCCCUCUCCUCAGGCUCUCCCCGCUCUGCCGCUGCCGCGGUGCACGCCGGGACACGUAGUUCUCACGCGACGCGCGCAAGGCACGCCGGAAGGCGUUGUCUAGCACCGGAGCGCGCUCUGCCCGGAUUGGCUGCU
rnacentral:lncRNA from 1 species